rnacentral:lncRNA from 1 species
GCUCCUAGAGCGGCCGCCCCAGGGGCGGGAGGAAAACGCGUUUCCGGCGGGUGUCGGGCUCGGGAAUCGGCGGGUUGGCUCCGGGGUGCGGCGCUCAGGGCUACCCCUUGGCCAGGGCCUUCCCGCGGAGGACAGGAGCUCCAGAAAGAGAGGGGGACUGUGAGUGGGGAGGAGAAGCCGGCGGCGCAGACCGCGGUCCCCGGGGCGGUGCGGGGGCGCCUGUGAACUUAGCCGCCCCGGAGGCUCGUGCCGUGAGGCGCGAGGCUGGCGGCCGUUUCUCCUGGAAGGGCCAGCAGCCCGGCCCUCGCCGUCCCCUCUCUGAGGCCUCCGUCCUUCCAGAGCCCCGGGGAAAAUGCUUAACUAGAGAUUGGAGCCAUCGGACAAAAAUUAAAAUCACUCAGGAGGAGCAGACAGACAUUGGGUGCCUCUUGCUGUCACACUGAGAAGGACACGACCACACGUACGCAGACGUCCAGCCAGGAAGGCCUAACCUCUAUAUGCUAAUGAAGACACAGCCGACAGAGCUCAAGGGAGGAACAUUCUAGUAAAGGGAAAGUCUGUGCUUUUCCACCAGGUCACUGUCAUAAAAGACAAAGGCUGACCACUCCAGAUCAGAGGAGACUAAAGAGAAACGACAGUGUACUGCAAUACAUCAUGGCUAGCCUGGAUUUUGGACUACAGGGGCAGAUACUCCGUAAAGGAUAUCAUUGAGACAAUUGGCAAAAUGGAUGGUAAAUUCGAUACCAGAGUGCACCGAUGUUACAUCUAGUGAAGUGGAGAACUGUACCGCACUGGGGGAGGAAAUAUUAAGUAUUUCAGGGUAAAGGAACAGGAUGUAUGCAACUUAUUCUCAAAUAAUUUGGAAUAAAAGUCACAUGGAGAGAGAGAGAGAGGAAGUA